ACGAACGCUGGCGGCGUGCCUAAUACAUGCAAGUCGAGCGGACGAAUCGAAAGCUUGCUUUUGAUUCGUUAGCGGCGGACGGGUGAGUAACACGUGGGCAACCUGCCCUGUAGACGGGGAUAACACCGAGAAAUCGGUGCUAAUACCGGAUAACACGAAAUGUCGCAUGACGUUUCGUUGAAAGACGGCGCAAGCUGUCGCUACAGGAUGGGCCCGCGGCGCAUUAGCUAGUUGGUGAGGUAACGGCUCACCAAGGCGACGAUGCGUAGCCGACCUGAGAGGGUGAUCGGCCACACUGGGACUGAGACACGGCCCAGACUCCUACGGGAGGCAGCAGUAGGGAAUCUUCCGCAAUGGACGAAAGUCUGACGGAGCAACGCCGCGUGAGCGAAGAAGGCCUUCGGGUCGUAAAGCUCUGUUGUUAGGGAAGAACAAGUAACGCAGUAACUGGCGUUACCGUGACGGUACCUAACGAGAAAGCCACGGCGAACUACGU
rnacentral:rRNA from 1 species